UACGGGGGGGGCAAGCGUUGUUCGGAAUUACUGGGCGUAAAGGGCGCGUAGGCGGCCUACUAAGUCGGACGUGAAAUCCCUCGGCUCAACCGGGGAACUGCGUCCGAUACUGGUGGGCUUGAAUCCGGGAGAGGGAUGUGGAAUUCCAGGUGUAGCGGUGAAAUGCGUAGAUAUCUGGAGGAACACCGGUGGCGAAGGCGGCAUCCUGGACCGGCAUUGACGCUGAGGCGCGAAAGCCAGGGGAGCAAACGGG
rnacentral:rRNA from 1 species